AUCUGACUCAUCAGUUAGCUAUGAUAAUACGACAUAAUGAGAAUUUGAGGAGGCAAGAGAGAAAUGGUGCUCCAGCUCACAUUAUAACAGAGUUUGCUCAGCUGUUGCAAUUUCAUAUUGCAACAUACUUCGAUAAUGAUCUUCCUGGCCAACCCAGGGCCACACAGCGUUCUGGAAGGCCUAUUAAAUCAAUUUGCAGCAGGCUGAAAGCUAAAGAAGCCAGGAUUAGAGGAAAUCAUUGGAAUUGGCAAGCGUGUUCAUUUCUCGGCCCGUACAAUUAUCACACCAGAUCCGAACAUAAACAUUGAUGAAUUGGGAGUACCAUGGAGUAUUGCUUUGAACCUGACAUAUCCUGACACUAUCACUCCAUAUAAUAUUGAGAGGUUGAAGGAACUUGUUGAAUAUGGGCCUCACCCUCCCCCAGGAAAGACCGGUGCAAAAUAUAUUAUCAGGGAAGAUGGUCAGAUGCUUGAUCUUCGGUAUGUGAAGAAAAGCAGCGAUCAGCAUCUGGAGCUUGGUUACAAGGUGGAGAGGCAUCUCAAUGAUGGGGAUUUUGUUCUUUUCAAUCGGCAACCAAGUCUUCAGAAAAUGUCU